rnacentral:piRNA from 2 species
UAAGCUGGAGCCAGAAAGAACCUUCAUGGU